rnacentral:rRNA from 1 species
CCUACGGUGCGCUGCAGUGGGGAAUCUUGCACAAUGGGGGAAACCCUGAUGCAGCAACGCCGCGUGAGUGAAGAAGUCUUUCUGUAUGUAAAGCUCUAUCAGCAGGGACGAAGAUGACGGUACCUGAUUCCGACGACCCGGCUAACUACGUGCCAGCCGCCGCGGUCAUACGUAGGGGGCAAGCGUUAUCCGGAUUUACUGGGUGUAAAGGGAGCGCAGACGGCAGUGCAGGUCUGGAGUGAAAGCCCGGGGCCCAACCCCGGAACUGCUCUGGAAACUGUGCGGCUAGAGUACUGGAGGGGCAGGCGGAAUUCCUAGUGUAGCGGUGAAAUGCGUAGAUAUUAGGAGGAACACCAGUGGCGAAGGCGGCCUGCUGGACAGUAACUGACGUUGAGGCUCGAAAGCGUGGGGAGCAAACAGGAUUAGAUACCCGAGUAGUC